rnacentral:rRNA from 1 species
GAUGAACGCUGGCGGCGUGCUUAAUACAUGCAAGUCGAGCGAACAGACGAGGAGCUUGCUCCUCUGACGUUAGCGGCGGACGGGUGAGUAACACGUGGAUAACCUACCUAUAAGACUGGGAUAACUUCGGGAAACCGGAGCUAAUACCGGAUAAUAUAUUGAACCGCAUGGUUCAAUAGUGAAAGACGGUUGUGCUGUCACUUAUAGAUGGAUCCGCGCCGCAUUAGCUAGUUGGUAAGGUAACGGCUUACCAAGGCGACGAUGCGUAGCCGACCUGAGAGGGUGAUCGGCCACACUGGAACUGAGACACGGUCCAGACUCCUACGGGAGGCAGCAGUAGGGAAUCUUCCGCAAUGGGCGAAAGCCUGACGGAGCAACGCCGCGUGAGUGAUGAAGGUCUUCGGAUCGUAAAACUCUGUUAUUAGGGAAGAACAAAUGUGUAAGUAACUAUGCACGUCUUGACGGUACCUAAUCAGAAAGCCACGGCUAACUACGUG